rnacentral:lncRNA from 1 species
GCCGCGUCACCGCCAUUUUUUAAAGGGUCCGCAGCCUGACUCUGCUGAGUAAGGGGGGGUGGGGCGGGUGAGUCGGCCUCGCCAGUGCGCAUGCGCGAGCCCCGAGCCGCCGCUUUGGUCACAGUGACCGCCACCGUUGCCCGGGGAUGGGUCCCUGAGACUUGGCGAAGUAGGAGCCCUGUGUGAUCGUGCGUCAGAAUCGGGGCUAAGACCAGUCCUGGCCAGGGCAGUUACCAGGACGGUCUCCGGAGGCCGGGAUUCGCGGAGGGUCAACCAGGAGGAAGAAACGCCAGAAGGAAGAAACCUCAGACAGAUCGCCGGGGACGCAGCACGGGAUCCCAGCCUCAGGCGUGCACGGACGGUGUGCGGCCGGUGGGAGCCAUCAUCGGAUCCCAAGAGGUGUCCGCGCAGCCCAGCCAGCACCCCGAAGGUCCUCCUUCACCGGGAACAGAAGCAGGAGACCGAUCAAGGAGGUCCUGAUGACAGGACUCCUAUGGGUCCGACCCUGGGUCUCCCGCAGGCCCCUCUGGUAGUCCUCUUCCCACCCGCCGCCUCGGGCUGCGCCGCAACCGCCGCCGCAACCUCCAGCACCGCCGCCUCAGUCCCCGCAGCCGCCGCGUCGCCGCCAUUUUUUAAAGGGUCCGCAGCCUGACUCUGCUGAGUAAGGAGGGGUGGGGCGGGUGAGUCGGCCUCGCCAGUGCGCAUGCGCGAGGCCCCAGCCGCUGCUUUGGUCACAGUGACCGCCACCGUUGCCCGGGGAUGGGUCCCUGAGACUUGGCGAAGUAGGAGCCCUGUGUGAUCGUGCGUCAGAGUCGGGGCUCAGACCAGUCGUGGCCAGGGCAGUUACCAGGACGGUCUCCGGAGGCCGGGAUUCGCGGAGGGUCAACCUGGAGGAAGAAACGCCAGAAGGAAGAAACUUCAGACAGAUCGCCGGGGACGCAGCACGGGAUCCCAGCCUCAGGCCUGCGGGGACGGUGUGCGGGAAGGGAGUGUAUCCUGGUGUAUGACAGCAUAUAGUAGAGACCAGUGUCAAUUAGGGCCUGUGAACUGAGACAGGGUGACUGGCUAAGUCCACAACCCAUUAGAAACCCAGAAAUAAUCAAAUCAUGGAGAGAUUAGUCCAGGGACAAUAAAUAUGGAUUAGGGAAGAAUGUGUUAACUCAGCAGGCCAGGGUUUCUUCAACCCUGCACAUUCAAAGAGGGAUCAUGGAAAGGAAGCUGAAUUUGCUGAGUUUUGCCACGUGGGCAUUGCAUGCCUAUGUGAUUAACCACCAAUAAAAACCUGGGACAUCAAAAAAUAAAUAAGCUGCUUUAAUUGCCAAGAAUUCACAUGUGGUUGUAUGCAGCAUUACUGGGAGAUUGAAGUGUAUCUGCAUGUGAUUCUACUGUGAUGGACACUUGUAAAUUUGUGCCUGGAGUCUCCUGGAAUUUGCCCUGAGAAUCUUUUUCCUUUGUUGAUAAGAAUCUGCAUCCUUUUGUUUUAAUAAACGAUAAACAUGAGUAUAAUUGCUUCUCUGAGUUCUGAGAGUUUUUUAAAUAAAUAAUCAAAGCUGAAAAGCAAUGGAGACCCCCACCAAAACAUCUUUACACAUUUCAAUUUUGUAUUGAAGUAAAUUUUAUUUUCUUUUUUAUACCUCCCGUAU